GCGGAUAUAGCUCAGUGUUAGAGCGUUCGACUGAAGAUCGAGAGGUUCUUGGUUCAAAUCCGGGUUUUCCCU